UUGUGUCAAGCUUCUUGAGUGUUGCUGGAGCUGCAUCCAGGAACGUGUUGCAUCACACGGCUGACUUGUGCCUUGUCAAUUGUGGAGAGACAGUGGGGAGUUAAGAGUUAUCGCUAGGAAUCUCAGAACUUCUUGGAAUCAACUGCACCGACUUCGACAAAAUGAUAACCAGGAUAUAUGAAACAGAAUUUGCUGGAAAGGAAGACAUUGUGGCAAGGAUGCCCUGAGGCAUGGUACAUUGGUGAAACCGAG